AAGUCGUAACAAGGUUUUUGUAGGUGAACCUGCAAAAGGAUCAUUAGUGAAUUGUGGGAGUCCCUCUUAACCGGAGAAGGCCCAUUACUACCAUUUUUAACCCUAGUGAAUUUGUCCCUUUUUUACUUUGCCCUUGUGCAUUAUUAAAAGUCAUUUGUAUUAUAAAUUAUGAAAGAAAAA
rnacentral:misc_RNA from 1 species